rnacentral:rRNA from 1 species
GAGUCGAGAGGGUUCGGCCCUCGGCUGACGGCUCAGUAACACGUGGAUAAUCUGCCCUAAGGUGAAGGAUAACCUCGGGAAACUGAGAAUAAUACUCCAUAAAUCUAGGAUGCUGGAAUGCACUUAGGUUGAAAACUUCGGUGCCUUAGGAUGAGUCUGCGGACUAUCAGGUUGUAGUCAGGGUAAAGACCUGACUAGCCUACGACGGAUACGGGUUGUGAGAGCAAUAACCCGGAGGUGAUAUCUGAGACACGAUAUCAGGCCCUACGGGGCGCAGCAGGCGCGAAAACUUCGCACUGCGCGAAAGCGCGACGAGGGGAUCCCAAGUGUAUGCACGUAAGUGUAUACUGUUUCUCUGUCUAAAAAGCAGAGAGAGUAAGAGCUGGGUAAGACGGGUGCCAGCCGCCGCGGUAAUACCUGCAGCUCAAGUGGUGAUCGUUAUUAUUGGGCCUAAAACGUCCGUAGCCGGUUGAGUAAAUGCCUGGGUAAAUCGUGUCGCUUAACGAUACGAAUUCCGGGUAGACUGCUCAGCUUGGGACCGGGAGAAGCUAGAGGUACUCCUGGGGUAGAGGUGAAAUUCUGUAAUCCUGGGGGGACCACCAGUGGCGAAGGCGUCUAGCUAGAACGGGUCUGACGGUGAGGGACGAAACCCUGGGGCGCGAACCGGAUUAGAUACCCGGGUAGUCCAGGGCGCAAACGCUGCUUGCUUGAUGUUAGCUGGGCU